rnacentral:misc_RNA from 1 species
CCCUCCCCCCCCAAAACACAUCUCACCUCAUUUCCUUCCUUUGUUUUUUCCUAGAGGCUAUCUACAUAGAAACUCAAUAAUUUGACUAAGUGUUGAGAAAUUUGUUCAUACAUCGUCGGCGUGUUGGCGUUUCUUGUCUGCGCCUACGAAGAGGCUCUGCAAGCGUUGGUAAAAUCUUUCCCAGAGUUUAAAGACCCAAUAAUUUGACUAAGUGCAAGCGUUGUUCAUACAUCGUUGGCGUGUUGGCCGUUUCUUGACUACGCCUACGAAGAGUCGCACGUAAGAGCUCGGAAAAACCGAGCAAGACACUAUUUUAAAAAAAAAUGUUGGAUGAUGUUAACGUGUCGGUGGUUUAUGACUAAGAAUAUGAAAAAG